GCCGGUCGUCGCGAGGAUCGCGCUCCGGCUGCUCGAGUCGGUCGCGGGUGAGGCGACCGACGCCGACGGUCUGAUCGUCACGACCGCCG
rnacentral:tRNA from 1 species